GUGAAUCAUCGAAUCUUUGAACGCAAAUUGCACUCCCUGGUAUUCCGGGGAGUAUGCCUGUUUGAGGGUCGUUAGAACAAAAAUCGAAGCGUCGCUCUUUUUUUUUAAGGGUGAUCGCUUCGGAAUUGAGCCGUCUUUCAAAGUUUAUUUCAUUCCAAAGUGGCUUGAAAUUCAUCAAUCCGUUAGGAUAAAAGCUUAUUUAAAAUCAA
rnacentral:misc_RNA from 1 species